rnacentral:misc_RNA from 1 species
GAUGAAGAACGUAGCGAAAUGCGAUAAGUAAUGUGAAUUGCAGAAUUCAGUGAAUCAUCGAAUCUUUGAACGCACAUUGCGCCCGCCAGUAUUCUGGCGGGCAUGCCUGUUCGAGCGUCAUUACAACCCUCAGGCCCCCGGGCCUGGCGUUGGGGAUCGGCGGAGCCCCCCGUGGGCACACGCCGUCCCCCAAAUACAGUGGCGGUCCCGCCGCAGCUUCCAUCGCGUAGUAGCUAACACCUCGCGACUGGAGAGCGGCGCGGCCACGCCGUAAAACACCCAACUCUUCUGAAGUUGACCUCGAAUCAGGUAGGAAUACCCGCUGAACUUAAGCAUAUCAAUGAGCGGAGGA